CGAGCUUUUUCAAACGAAUUUCGGUUUUUCCCUGAACCGCCUCACCCUAGGCAUAAAGAAGUUUAAUUACUUCGAUAUAGAGCUCCAAGUCAUUGCUUUUGAUUCACAAAUGAUUCACCAAGGCCAUUUUCCGGCGAAUUCAGACAGUGGUUUCCUCUGAUGGCCAUAGCAUAGUGCUCACCAUUACUUUUGCCACCCAAAAUCUCGGAUUUCUUAUCAAAAGCCCGUUUUCCACUAGGGGGAAAUUGUUCGCGCGAAAAAAAGUAGGAACUGAUCCAAUUUUUUCACUACGAAUUUUUUCGCUGACCAAUCACAUAACCGAAAUUUGUUUUUCGCUUCCCGCGAACAAAU